rnacentral:rRNA from 1 species
CUAACAAGGAUUCCCCUAGUAACGGCGAGUGAAGYGGGAUGAGCUCAAAUUUGUAAUCYGRCGGUCUCCGGCCGUCCGAGUUGUAGUCUGGAGAAGCGUCUUCCGUGCCAGACCGCGUYCAAGUCCCUUGGAACRGGGCGUCGUAGAGGGUGAGAAUCCCGUCUGUGACGYGGACUACUGGUGCUCUGUGAUGCGCUCUCGAAGAGUCGAGUUGUUUGGGAAUGCAGCUCAAAAGGGGUGGUAAAUUCCAUCUAAAGCUAAAUACGGGCGAAAGACCGAUAGCGAACAAGUACCGUGAGGGAAAGAUGAAAAGGACUUUGGAAAGAGAGUUAAAGAGUACGUGAAAUUGUUGAAAGGGAAACGCUUCAAGUCAGUYGCGUCUUCCGUAGGAGAUUCAGCCGGGUGUUUCAYCCGGUCUARUUCUCUCGGUGUGACCUGCCAGCRUGGAUUU